GCCAUGCUAGUUGUACGAGUUCAGACUCGUAGCAGAUAGCUCAGUAACACGUGGCCAAACUACCCUAUGGAUCCGGACAACCUCGGGAAACUGAGGCUAAUCCGGAAUACGGCUCUCAGCCUGGAAGUGGCGAGAGUCAGAAACGCUCCGGCGCCAUAGGAUGUGGCUGCGGCCGAUUAGGUAGACGGUGGGGUAACGGCCCACCGUGCCCAUAAUCGGUACGGGUUGUGAGAGCAAGAGCCCGGAGACGGUAUCUGAGACAAGAUACCGGGCCCUACGGGGCGCAGCAGGCGCGAAACCUUUACACUGCACGAAAGUGCGAUAAGGGGACUCCAAGUGCGAGGGCAUAUAGUCCUCGCUUUUCACCACCGUAAGGAGGUGGUAGAAUAAGUGCUGGGCAAGACCGGUGCCAGCCGCCGCGGUAAUACCGGCAGCACGAGUGAUGACCGCUCUUAUUGGGCCUAAAGCGUCCGUAGCUGGCCACGCAAGUCUAUCGGGAAAUCCGCGCGCUCAACGCGCGGGCGUCCGGUGGAAACUGCGUGGCUUGGGACCGGAAGAUCCAGAGGGUACGUCUGGGGUAGGAGUGAAAUCCCGUAAUCCUGGACGGACCACCGGUGGCGAAAGCGCUCUGGAAAGACGGAUCCGACGGUGAGGGACGAAAGCUCGGGUCACGAACCGGAUUAGAUACCCGGGUAGUCCGAGCUGUAAACGAUGUCUGCUAGGUGUGCCACAGGCUACGAGCCUGUGGUGUGCCAUAGGGAAGCCGUGAAGCAGACCGCCUGGGAAGUACGUCCGCAAGGAUGAAACUUAA
rnacentral:rRNA from 1 species